UCUCGUGGCCAAAACCUCCUUGUCAAAGCCUGAUCUCAUCAGAUCUCAGAAGCUAAGCGGGGCUGGGCCUGGUUAGUACUUGGAUUGGAGACUGAUGGGAAUAUCAGGUGCCACAGUGU
rnacentral:rRNA from 1 species